CAGCAGUAGAGGGAUCAGCAAAGACUCUGCAUAUAAAGGAGAGGAGAGCAAGGAGGACAUACUCAGGAGGGAACCCAGGACACUUAAGGCAUUAAUCUUGCUAUAGACCAGACACUCAUGCUUGCUGGCAGCUAAGACCUCACCCUCCAGCUUGGGAGGGUUCUUCAUUCCAAUGGAAGCAUCCAAACCCAGCUCUGAAGAGAAAACCACAGCCAACAGGAUCCGUUGUCAUGCAUGAUCUAACUAUGACUUACUCCCCCACUCAGGAGGGACAUCAAGUAAGGAAAGUGUCCAGGAACAAGAAAGGCCAUCUGAAAGUCUAUGGGUACACGGGUUCGAGCCCUGGUCUGGGAAGAUCCCACAUGCCGCGGAGCAGCUGGGCCCGUGAGCCACGACUACUGAGCCUGCGCGUCUGGAGCCUGUGCCCCGCAACAAGAGAGGCCGCGAUAGUGAGAGGCCCGCGCACCGCGAUGAAG